UCCGUAGGCGGAUUAAUAAGUCAGAGGUGAAAUCCCACAGCUUAACUGUGGAACUGCCUUUGAUACUGUUAGUCUUGAGUUAUAUGGAAGUAGAUAGAAUGUGUAGUGUAGCGGUGAAAUGCAUAGAUAUUACACAGAAUACCGAUUGCGAAGGCAGUCUACUACGUAUAUACUGACGCUAAUGGACGAAAGCGUGGGGAGCGAACAGGAUUAGAUACCCUGGUAGUC
rnacentral:rRNA from 1 species